rnacentral:rRNA from 1 species
CAGUCGCCGCGGUAAUACGAAGGGGGCUAGCGUUGCUCGGAAUGACUGGGCGUAAAGGGCGCGUAGGCGGCGGCCAAAGUCAGGCGUGAAAUUCCCGGGCUCAACCUGGGGGCUGCGUUUGAUACUUGGUUGCUUGAGUGGGGAAGAGGGUCGUGGAAUUCCCAGUGUAGAGGUGAAAUUCGUAGAUAUUGGGAAGAACACCGGUGGCGAAGGCGGCGACCUGGUCCAUUACUGACGCUGAGGCGCGAAAGCGUGGGGAGCAAACAGGAUUAGAUACCCCGGUAGUCCCUGUCUCUUAUAC